UUAUGACCUCAAGCCGAAAUCAAGAGUUGGACGCUCAACCAAUUGAGCCACCCAGUGUAGCUUCUUCAGCGUGUUACGAUGAGAAUGUGGAAAGUCCUCUGGAGUGGUGCCUACGAGACACGGGGGAGACCCCGGAGAAGCAGACACUGAUUCAGGUCUAGUGUGCUCAGGGGAGGCUUCCUGGAAAGUUUGUCAUUUGCGCCAGACAUUCAAGGACGUGUGGAUUUCUCGAGGUGGGAUGCCUUUUAUUUCUUUUUAUUGGCUAAUUGCUUGGGCUAGCACUCCCAGAACUCUGUUGAAUAGAAGUGGUCAGAGUGGAUAUCCUCAUACUUCCGGACACACACAAGGAGAACAUGGCCA